rnacentral:rRNA from 1 species
GUACACUCCUGCGGGAGGCAGCAGUGGGGAAUAUUGCACAAUGGGCGCAAGCCUGAUGCAGCCAUGCCGCGUGUGUGAAGAAGGCCUUCGGGUUGUAAAGCACUUUCAGCGGGGAGGAAGGCGAUACGGUUAAUAACCGUGUUGAUUGACGUUACCCGCAGAAGAAGCACCGGCUAACUCCGUGCCAGCAGCCGCGGUAAUACGGAGGGUGCAAGCGUUAAUCGGAAUUACUGGGCGUAAAGCGCACGCAGGCGGUCUGUCAAGUCGGAUGUGAAAUCCCCGGGCUCAACCUGGGAACUGCAUUCGAAACUGGCAGGCUUGAGUCUUGUAGAGGGGGGUAGAAUUCCAGGUGUAGCGGUGAAAUGCGUAGAGAUCUGGAGGAAUACCGGUGGCGAAGGCGGCCCCCUGGACAAAGACUGACGCUCAGGUGCGAAAGCGUGGGGAGCAAACAGGAUUAGAAACCCGUGUAGUCCCAUG